rnacentral:rRNA from 1 species
GUUUGAUCCUGGCUCAGGAUGAACGCUAGCGGCAGGCCUAAUACAUGCAAGUCGAACGGUGUCUUCGGACAUAGUGGCGCACGGGUGCGUAACACGUAUGCAACCUACCUUACAUUGGGGGAUAGCCUUUCGAAAGGGAGAUUAAUACCGCAUAAGACAGUAGCUGGGCAUCCAGCAGCUGUUAAAGAUUUAUCGAUGUAAGAUGGGCAUGCGACCAAUUAGUUAGUUGGCGAGGUAACGGCUCACCAAGACUAUGAUUGGUAGGGGAACUGAGAGGUCAAUCCCCCACACUGGCACUGAGAUACGGGCCAGACUCCUACGGGAGGCAGCAGUAGGGAAUAUUGGGCAAUGGACGCAAGUCUGACCCAGCCAUGCCGCGUGCAGGAUGAAGGCGUUAUGCGUCGUAAACUGCUUUUAUACAGGAAGAAACGACUCUUGCGAGAGGCAUUGACGGUACUGUAUGAAUAAGCACCGGCUAACUCCGUGCCAGCAGCCGCGGUAAUACGGAGGGUGCAAGCGUUGUCCGGAUUUAUUGGGUUUAAAGGGUGCGCAGGUGGUUUAUUAAGUCAGUGGUGAAGGACGGUCGCUCAACGAUUGCAGUGCCAUUGAAACUAGUAGACUUGAGUAAAGUAGAGGUGGGCGGAAUUGAUAGUGUAGCGGUGAAAUGCAUAGAUAUUAUCAAGAACUCCAAUUGCGUAGGCAGCUCACUUGGCUUUUACUGACACUCAUGCACGAAAGUGUGGGUAUCAAACAGGAUUAGAUACCCUGGUAGUCCACACUGUAAACGAUGAUAACUAGGUGUCGGCCGAAUCUGGUCGGUGCCACAGCGAAAGCGUUAAGUUAUCCACCUGGGGAGUACGCCGGCAACGGUGAAACUCAAAGGAAUUGACGGGGUCCGCACAAGCGGUGGAGCAUGUGGUUUAAU